GAUGAACGCUGGCUGCGUGCUUAACACAUGCAAGUCGAACGGCAAGGCCCAAGCUUGCUUGGGUACUCGAGUGGCGAACGGGUGCGUAACACUUGGGUGAUCUGCCCUUCACUUCCGGAUAAGCCUGGGCAACUGGGUCUAAUACCGGUUAGGACGAUGGUUUGUAUGCCAUUUUGGAAAGUUUUUUCGGUGUGGGAUGAGCUCGCGGCCUAUCCGCUUGUUGGUGGGGUAGUGGCCUACCAAGGCGUCGACGGGUAGACGGCCUGAGAGGGUGUACGGCAAAAAUGGGACGGAGAUACGGGCCAGACACCUACGGGAGGCAGCAAUGGAGAAGAGUGCACAAGGGGCGCAAGAGUGAUGCAGAGACGCAGCGUGGGGGAUGAUGGCAUUCGGGUUGUAGACUCCUUUAGCUAGGGACGAAGCGGUUUUGUGAAGGUACCUGGAGAAGAAGCACCGGCUAACUACGUG
rnacentral:rRNA from 1 species